GGAAAUCUGUGAUGUUCGAAUUGUCCUCUUUGUGUGUUGACCGAACAUUUUUAUUGAUAUCUUGGGACCUGUCUUGUGUCACAGCUGGUAACAUGCCUUAUCAUUUGGUAGUUCGAUGCUACGACCAUGGGACCCACCUGCUUGAAUUCGCGGGAUCAAUACUACAGGACGAACACCGGCAUUAACGGAGAUUCC
rfam:Enterococcus sp. 10A9_DIV0425 scaffold00003, whole genome shotgun sequence.